rnacentral:tRNA from 1 species
AUUUAUAUAGUUUAAUUAACAUAAAACCCCUUAUUUUCAAUAAGGAAAUAAGAAAUAAAUUUCUUUAUAAAUA